ensembl:miRNA
UUGGCCUCUUCUCCACCUUGAGACAUUUGUGUGCAGGGCCCUGCCCAGAAUGGUGCUGACUACGUAGAUUAAGUGUAGUCAGUGCCAUCUGGGUAGAGCGAUGCUCAACAUGAACAACGUUCGGGGUGUCUUUCAGAGCAGGUGU